AGUGAACGCUGGCGGUAGGCCUAACACAUGCCAGUCGAACGGCAGCACAGUAAGAGCUUGCUCUUACGGGUGGCGAGUGGCGGACGGGUGAGGAAUACAUCGGAAUCUACUUUUUCGUGGGGGAUAACGUAGGGAAACUUACGCUAAUACCGCAUACGACCUACGGGUGAAAGCAGGGGAUCUUCGGACCUUGCGCGAUUGAAUGAGCCGAUGUCGGAUUAGCUAGUUGGCGGGGUAAAGGCCCACCAAGGCGACGAUCCGUAGCUGGUCUGAGAGGAUGAUCAGUCACACUGGAACUGAGACACGGUCCAGACUCCUACGAGAGGCAGCAGUGGGGAAUAUUGGACAAUGGGCGCAAGCCUGAUCCAGCCAUACCGCGUGGGUGAAGAGGGCCUUCGGGUUGUAAAGCCCUUUUGUUGGGAAAGAAAAGCAGCAGGUUAAUACCCCGCUGUUCUGACGGUACCCAAAGAAUAAGCACCGGCUAACUUCGUG
rnacentral:rRNA from 1 species